CAAUUUUGAGUUCCGCUAGCAGUAACAGAAGCUAGGGAUUCAGAUACCAAAUAUAUCUAAUCUUUUUUUUUUAUUAUUAUUAAUAUUUAAAAUUACGAAAAUAUUCCAUGGGGACUUUAAUUGAAAGUUGAUUUUACCAGUACAGCCCUGAGAUCACUACCCGAUAAGGAAAUCUGCAAAGGAAGGGGAACCAGGAAGUUGAUGGGAUUGACUUUGACCCGGAAUCAAAUGGCUCCAUUGUCACACCCUCCAACUAAGGUGUAUGCACUCACUAAAUCUUCAUACACAAACUCCAGAUCAUAGUUAAUCCAACGGCAGAGAUUAAUCAGACAGAGGAAGUUCAAUAGAAGAAAAGAAGGAAAAUGAAAAUCUCGAUCGCGAUUUGUGAUAUUACAUCAGACAGACCACAGCGCAGUGUAUGAAAGUUUUUAGUCAGAUUGACCGUACAGAAGUGGUGCACUCGACUUCCUCGAGUGGAACCUGAAAAUUGGAAAAAGAGAAAAAGGAAAGUCGAGGGAGUGAUGAAAGAUAAUCACAACCUGGCCAUGUUUAAAACAGUAGUUUCUAGG
rnacentral:lncRNA from 1 species